UACGGGGGGGGCAAGCGUUGUUCGGAAUUACUGGGCGUAAAGGGCUCGUAGGCGGCUAACUAAGUCGGCUGUGAAAUCCCCAGGCUUAACCUGGGAACUGCAUCCGAUACUGGAUGGCUUGAAUCCGGGAGAGGGAUGCAGAAUUCCAGGUGUAGCGGUGAAAUGCGUAGAUAUCAAGAGGAACACCUGAGGUGAAGACGGGGUGCUGGGCUGACACUGACGCUGAGGCGCGAAAGCCAGGGGAGCAAACGGG
rnacentral:rRNA from 1 species